UCCAUGGAUCAAUGAUCAGAAGUUGAGC
rnacentral:piRNA from 1 species